GUCGUGAUAGCUCAAUUGGUAGAGCAGACGGCUGUUAACCGUUUGGUUAUUGGUUCGAUUCCAAUUCAUGACG